AGGAAGAAAAGGGGAAGAAAGGAAAAGAAAGAAAGAAAGAAGGAGAAGAAGAGAAGGGAAGAGGGAGGAGAAGAAGAGAAGGGAAGAGGGAGGAAAGAUGGCUGGAUUGUUAGAGUUUCUCUAGCACAAAAGGACACCAACAAGGGGAAAAGAAAGAGAGUGGUCUGAAAAGCAAAAAAAUUGAGAGACAAAUGGAGAAGAUGGUGAAUAGGAGCAGAAACAGGAGUUGAGCAGGGACAGUAAAUUUGUCUUCCUUCUAGGCGUUGGAUGGGUCAAAUAAACAUUGAUGGUACCUCUAAGGGUUAUCCAAAUAGAGGUGGUGGUGGAGUUUUUACUGUCUGAUUGGGAAUCUAUACUUCUAUCCUUGUAGAGCUUCAAAGUCUUCUUCAUGGUUUAUGCAUGGCUUAGGAUUUGGGCUAUAGAAAACUCUUUGUAGAGUUGGAUUCAAAAAUUAUCCUUGAAUUUCUCGCUUAUGCUAAGGUAUGUAGCCUGAAGUUUGUGAAUGUUCUUUCGUAGUGCAAGGAACUCCUUCGCCAUCCUUGGCAUGUGCAUUUGGAUCAUUGUUAUCGGGAGGCCAAUGCUGUGGCAGACAAGCUUGCCAAUCUUGUUGUGUUUGCCUCUCAAGGUUCUUGUUGUCUGCCUACCCCUCCUAGGGUGGUUGUUGAUUUGUUGCAGUGUGAUCUUCAUGGUUUAGCAUGGCCAGGGACUGUGCCUAUCUCCCGUUAAGAUUGUUCCUUUCUGGGUUUUGCACCCUCCUUUGUAUUGAUAUAUAUAUAUAUAUAUAUUUUAAGUUUGAA